GACAGAGGGUGCAAACGUUGUUCGGAAUUACUGGGCGUAAAGCGCGUGUAGGCGGCCCUGCAAGUCGGAUGUGAAAUCCCACGGCUCAACCGUGGAAGUGCAUUCGAAACUGCAGGGCUAGAGUCCUGGAGAGGAAGGUGGAAUGCUUGGUGUAGAGGUGAAAUUCGUAGAUAUCAAAGCGGAACACCGGUGGCGAAGGCGGCCUCUGGGCCAAUAC
rnacentral:rRNA from 1 species